rnacentral:lncRNA from 1 species
GAAAAAAAUUUCCUGACAAAAAAGUCAAUCAUCAAAGCAAAAUGGAGACAAGACAUCUCUCAACAUCUGGGAGUUGUCACAUGACCUUCUGAGCUAGAACUGCCGGUGGUUGUUUCAUAGAACCUGGGUCAGUCUUAAGAAGAAGGAGCAAAGAAGGAUGAAGAACCCAGCUCUGCCUCAGAGGAACAGGGCAGAUAUGCCUGCCCAAGGACGGCCAGCAAAGGGGACAGAUGCUGCAAGAUGGGUGCUGUCUUUAGCACUGACUUUUAACUAAAAGAUGGAUAACAGCUUAGCACGGGAGACUGAAACAGCUGCCCCAAUGCACAGCUCCAAACAAUCAAGUAUCACGAAUAAGUCCUGCGGUUUUUGUGCAUCAACCAGCUGGUCCCGAAUUUGUCCUGAAGAAUUUCAGAGGACUUCCUGAGGAAGACUGGUCAGAGCUGUUAGAAGGAUGCAC